UACACCGUCGACACUGUUUUGAUAAAACGCGCACUGAACAUUCCAUUUUUAUAGUGUUUUUAAAUCAAUCGCUUUAUAUAUAGACCGGUACAUCAAUGAGUGCUAAUAUUUGCAAGGUCAUCCGCACCAGUGCAGAUGAACACUCUUGCUGCGAAGUGCACGUCCAAACAGAAAUGUGAAUAAAUGUCUGUGCGGCGGCGGCGGCGUCUUCCAGCCUUCUGAAGCUUUGACAAAUUCAAGUUUAUUACUUGAAGUUGCCCAGAGACCAAAUAAAGAAUACAAGAAAAAACUCAUUACAGGUCACCGUUCAAAGUGCCUCCAAGUGCUCCCCCGGGACUUUGCCGGAUUUCAUUGCGGCUGAAUGGCAAUGACGGACAAUAUGACUCCUAUUUUCCUUGUUCUCUUGCUGGCAAUCGAGCCUCUCGUAGCCCAGGAUACUGGUGAGUAAAAUA